rnacentral:rRNA from 1 species
GUCGUGAAGAGGGAAACAACCCAGACCGCCAGCUAAGGUCCCAAAGUCAUGGUUAAGUGGGAAACGAUGUGGGAAGGCCCAGACAGCCAGGAUGUUGGCUUAGAAGCAGCCAUCAUUUAAAGAAAGCGUAAUAGCUCACUGGUCGAGUCGGCCUGCGCGGAAGAUGUAACGGGGCUAAACCAUGCACCGAAGCUGCGGCAGCGACACUGUGUGUUGUUGGGUAGGGGAGCGUUCUGUAAGCCUGUGAAGGUGUGUCGUGAGGCAUGCUGGAGGUAUCAGAAGUGCGAAUGCUGACAUAAGUAACGAUAAAGCGGGUGAAAAGCCCGCUCGCCGGAAGACCAAGGGUUCCUGUCCAACGUUAAUCGGGGCAGGGUGAGUCGACCCCUAAGGCGAGGCCGAAAGGCGUAGUCGAUGGGAAACGGGUUAAUAUUCCCGUACUUGGUGUUACUGCGAAGGGGGGACGGAGAAGGCUAUGUUGGCCGGGCGACGGUUGUCCCGGUUUAAGCGUGUAGGUGUGUGUUCCAGGUAAAUCCGGUUCACUUUAACACUGAGGCGUGACGACGAGGCACUACGGUGCUGAAGCAACAAAUGCCCUGCUUCCAGGAAAA